rnacentral:rRNA from 1 species
UACGUAGGGUGCGAGCGUUUAAUCGGAAUUACUGGGCGUAAAGCGUGCGCAGGCGGUUUUGUAAGCCAGAUGUGAAAUCCCCGGGCUUAACCUGGGAAUGGCAUUUGGGACUGCAAGGCUCGAGUGCGGCAGAGGAGACUGGAAUUCCUGGUGUAGCAGUGAAAUGCGUUAGAUAUCAGGAGGAACACCGGUGGCGAAGGCGGGUCUCUGGGCCGAUACUGACGCUGGAGGAGCGAAAGCGUGGGGAGCGAACAGGA